rnacentral:rRNA from 1 species
GUUAGGAAUAUUGGACAAUGGGCGCAAGCCUGAUCCAGCCAUGCCGCGUGAGUGAUGAAGGCCUUCGGGUUGUAAAGCUCUUUAGCCGAUGAUUAUAAUGACUGUAGUCGGAAAAUAAGCCCCGGCUAACUUCGUGCCAGCAGCCGCGGUAAUACGAAGGGGGCGAGCGUUAUUCGGAAUCACUGGGCGUAAAGCGUGCGUAGGCGGCUUUGCAAGUUGGGAGUGAAAGCCCAGGGCUCAACCCUGGAAUUGCUCUCAAAACUGCAAGGCUCGAAUGCGGGAGAGGAGAGAGGAAUUGUCAGUGUAGCAGUGGAAUGCGUAGAUAUUGACAGGAACACCAGUGGCGUAAGCGGCUAUCUGGACCGAUAUUGACGCUGAGGCACGAAAGCGUGGGGAUCAAACAGGAUUAGAUACCCGGGUAGUCC